UACGUAGGGUGCGAGCGUUGUCCGGAAUCAUUGGGCGUAAAGCGCGUGUAGGCGGCCCGGUAAGUCCGCUGUGAAAGUCCAGGGCUCAACCCUGGGAUGCCGGUGGAUACUGUCGAGCUCGAGUCCGGAAGAGGCGAGUGGAAUUCCUGGUGUAGCGGUGAAAUGCGCAGAUAUCAGGAGGAACACCGGUGGCGAAGGCGGGUCUCUGGGCCGUAACUGACGCUGAGGAGCGAAAGCAUGGGGAGCGAACAGG
rnacentral:rRNA from 1 species